GCGAGUCAUUGUAGUAAUACAAGGCAGACGGCUCAGUAACGCGUACUUACCUAACCUAUGGACGGGAAUAACCUCGGGAAACUGACUAUAAUGCCCGAUAGAACAUUAUGCCUGGAAUGGUUUAUGUUCCAAAUGAUUUAUCGCCGUAGGAUGGGACUGCCCCCUAUCAGUUUGUUGGUGAGGUAAUGGCCCACCAAGACUAUUACAGGUACGGGCUCUGAGAGGAGUAGCCCGGAGAUGGGUACUGAGACACGGACCCAGGCCCUAUGGGGCGCAGCAGGCGAGAAAACUUUGCAAUGUGCGAAAGCACGACAAGGUUAAUCCGAGUGGUUUCUGCUAAAGGAACCUUUUGUCGGUCCUAGAAACACCGAUGAAUAAGGGGUGGGCAAGUUCUGGUGUCAGCCGCCGCGGUAAAACCAGCACCUCAAGUGGUCAGGAUGAUUAUUGGGCCUAAAGCAUCCGUAGCCGGCUUUGUUAGUUUUCGGUUAAAUCUGUACGCUCAACGUACAGGCUGCCGGGAAUACUGCAGAGCUAGGGAGUGGGAGAGGUAGACGGUACUCGGUAGGAAGGGGUAAAAUCCUUUGAUCUAUUGAUGACCACCUGUGGCGAAGGCGGUCUACCAGAACACGUCCGACGGUGAGGGAUGAAAGCUGGGGGAGCAAACCGGAUUAGAUACCCGGGUAGUCCCAGCUGUAAACUAUGCAAACUCAGUGAUGCAUUGGCUUGUGGCCAAUGCAGUGCUGCAGGGAAGCCG
rnacentral:rRNA from 1 species